rnacentral:rRNA from 1 species
GUAGGUGGCAAGCGUUGUCCGGAAUUAUUGGGCGUAAAGCGCGCGCAGGCGGUCCUUUAAGUCUGAUGUGAAAGCCCACGGCUCAACCGUGGAGGGUCAUUGGAAACUGGGGGACUUGAGUACAGAAGAGGAAAGCGGAAUUCCAAGUGUAGCGGUGAAAUGCGUAGAGAUUUGGAGGAACACCAGUGGCGAAGGCGGCUUUCUGGUCUGAAACUGACGCUGAGGCGCGAAAGCGUGGGGAGCAAACAGGGAUUAGAUACCCUGGUAGUCCACGCCGUAAACGAUGAGUGCUAAGUGUUAGGGGGGUUUCCGCCCCCUUAGUGCUGCAGCUAACGCAUUAAGCACUCCGCCUGGGGAUACGGCCGCAAGGCUG